GACGAACGCUGGCGGCGUGCUUAACACAUGCAAGUCGAACGGAAAGGCCCUGCUUUUGUGGGGUGCUCGAGUGGCGAACGGGUGAGUAACACGUGAGUAACCUGCCCUUGACUUUGGGAUAACUUCAGGAAACUGGGGCUAAUACCGGAUAGGAGCUCCUGCUGCAUGUUGGGGGUUGGAAAGUUUCGGCGGUUGGGGGUGGACUCGCGGCUUAUCAGCUUGUUGGUGGGGUAGUGGCUUACCAAGGCUUUGACGGGUAGCCGGCCUGGGAGGGUGACCGGCCACAUUGGGACUGAGAUACGGCCCAGACUCCUACGGGAGGCAGCAGUGGGGAAUAUUGCACAAUGGGCGGAAGCCUGAUGCAGCAACGCCGCGUGCGGGAUGACGGCCUUCGGGUUGUAAACCGCUUUCGCCUGUGACGAAGCGGGAGUGACGGUAAUGGGUAAAGAAGCACCGGCUAACUACGUG
rnacentral:rRNA from 1 species